rnacentral:antisense_RNA from 1 species
GCCAUAGACUCUCCAACUCCUGCAACUGUCUGGAAUUUCUUCUCUCUCCAAUCCAUCUCUAGUAUUGAUGACAUAG